rnacentral:rRNA from 1 species
AGUGAACGCUGGCGGUAGGCCUAACACAUGCAAGUCGAACGGCAGCGCAGUAAGAGCUUGCUCUUACGGGUGGCGAGUGGCGGACGGGUGAGGAAUACAUCGGAAUCUACUUUUUCGUGGGGGAUAACGUAGGGAAACUUACGCUAAUACCGCAUACGACCUACGGGUGAAAGCAGGGGAUCUUCGGACCUUGCGCGAUUGAAUGAGCCGAUGUCGGAUUAGCUAGUUGGCGGGGUAAAGGCCCACCAAGGCGACGAUCCGUAGCUGGUCUGAGAGGAUGAUCAGCCACACUGGAACUGAGACACGGUCCAGACUCCUGCGGGAGGCAGCAGUGGGGAAUAUUGGACAAUGGGCGCAAGCCUGAUCCAGCCAUACCGCGUGGGUGAAGAAGGCCUUCGGGUUGUAAAGCCCUUUUGUUGGGAAAGAAAAGCAGCAGGUUAAUACCCCGCUGUUCUGACGGUACCCAAAGAAUAAGCACCGGCUAACUUCGUG